rnacentral:ncRNA from 1 species
UCGUUUUCGAACGAUGAAGCCGGAGAUCUGAUGACGGUGCCAAGUGGGCCAAUUUUGGUAAGCAGAACUGGCUCUGUGGGAUGAACUAAACGUAGUGUUAAGGCGCCCAAAAAACGCUCAUGGGACAACAUGAAAGGCGUUGGUCACUCAUGACAGCAGGACGGUGGCCAUGGAAGUCGGAAUCCGUUAAGGAGUGUGCAACCAGCCCUGAAAAUGGAUGGCGCUGAAGCGUUUUGCCUAUACUACCGUUACCGGCAUGUGCGAUGUUUUUAUUGAUAUCAUUAAGCCGUAAUGA